AUUGAACGCUGGCGGCAUGCCUUACACAUGCAAGUCGAACGGUAACAGGUCUUCGGAUGCUGACGAGUGGCGAACGGGUGAGUAAUACAUCGGAACGUGCCCGAUCGUGGGGGAUAACGAAGCGAAAGCUUUGCUAGUACCGCAUAAGAUCUAAGGAGGAAAGCAGGGGACCGCCAGGCCUUGCGCGAACGGAGCGGACGAUGGCGGAUUAGGUAGUUGGUGGGAUAAAAGCUUACCAAGCCGACGAUCUGUAGCUGGUCUGAGAGGACGACCAGCCACACUGGGACUGAGACACGGCCCAGACUCCUACGGGAGGCAGCAGUGGGGAAUUUUGGACAAUGGGCGAAAGCCUGAUCCAGCCAUGCCGCGUGCAGGAUGAAGGCCUUCGGGUUGUAAACUGCUUUUGUACGGAACGAAAAGACUCUGGUUAAUACCUGGGGUCCAUGACGGUACCGUAAGAAUAAGCACCGGCUAACUACGUGCCAGCCGCCGCAGUAAGAC
rnacentral:rRNA from 1 species